rnacentral:lncRNA from 1 species
UAUAUAAAAUUGAAAACCUUAUAUAGCUUUUCUUUUUACCCCGAAAAUAUAAACACUUUAGUACUUCAUAUUGUUGAAAACCCUAGCCCCUCGCCUCAGCCGUGCUCAAGCAUUACAAACCAGCCACCAUCCUAGUAGUCGCGCCGUCUUCGUUCCAACGUCACUAGAUCGCCGUCGCCGUUUCCGUCGCCGUCGCCGUCCCCGUCCUGCAUAUUAGCCACCAGCUCACCAGCCUUCACCGUCUUGUCACUUUCCUCCAUGAGCUCUCUCUGAACACAAACCCUAGACUAGCGAGUUGAAUUAAAGGGUGAAGGUUGCUCUCUUUCUUUUCUAACAAUAAAGAACAAAAAUCUCAUCAAUUUCCUUUUAAUAAUAACUUCUAAUUAGUGAUUCGACACUUCUUCUCAAUUUACAGCUCUCAUUUUUUAAUUUCGUCUUUAAUUCUUGAAGAACGAAGAACAUACAGAAGCCUUUCAGCUUUCAUCGACUUUGAUUCUCGAAAUUUAGGUAUUUCCUCUAUUACUCACUUAAAGAAUUAAAAUUCUUCGCUUUGAUUUUGACACCACGGUUAGAUUUUGAUUUAAUGCUUGUUUAAUUAGUUUAGAGUUUCAUUUAAUUUGUUUUGAGUUGUUCACUUUAAUUGCAUCUUCAAGAUGGAGUUUUGGUACUCUAAAUGAUACAAAGUUUUAUUCCUAUGCAGUAUGAUUAGAAGAAGUAAAUUGAUUGUGCACUUGAUAUUUUGCAUCUUAAUUUACAAAUGAUUUAAUGCCUAAAUUCUUAUUUUAUCAACCACACAGCCAAAAGUGAUUUGUUUGGGUUAUAUAGACUUACCUGUAAUUCUGUAUUAUUUAUAUCUUCAUAAAUUCUUGUUUAUGUAGGCUUGAUUGUUGAGGCUUCUUUUAUCAGUGAUGAUGUGUUAUAGACUUAGUUGUUGAGGUUUGUUUUAUCAAUGAUGAUGUGUUAUUAAAAACACACACACACAUUUUGAUUUUUUUUUAAAUAUAUAUAGAAUAAGCAUGACCAUGGAUCUUUAGGUGUGUAUUAGUAAUUUAGUAAUUUAGCAUCCAUUUCUUUCUAACAAGUGUUUUCAAGUUCAAUUAUUUUAUUUCACUUAUUCUUUACUGACCAUGGUAAUCAUUAAGGUCAAGCAUAAACGUACAACAUACUACAAAUUGAUCUAAAGUAGGAAAUACUAUAGAAUUCAGAUGAGACUGGUUACUAAUUUUUGAUAUUAAAAAGCUGAGAUUUAAUUUUAAUGUGUAUGUAAGAAUUCAUGGGUGGUGAGGGUUGCCAUUGUAUUUGACUCUUUGUCUUUGGAAAUGUUUUAUCAAGAUUUACUUUUGCUAAUAUCACUUGGGUAAUGCCCUGGACAUGCUUAUCAAAUGUCAUUACUGCCAGGUUUAUGCUUGUUGUCCAUAGUUCUUAGUCUCUAAUUAAUUCAAAAUAUUGGGAAUAUCUUUUUAUGGCACAUUGAUCUUUUCUUUUUGUAUAUCAUUGAUCUGUAUUUUGAUUGAUUAAGUAUAUGUGUUUGAGUCCUUGCUCUGUAUUUUUUAUGGAUUAAGUAUGGAGCUUUGAGUUUACAAUUGAUCAUGGGUAUUUUCUAAAAUCUUAUUACUUUGAAAAAAUUGUAGGUUGGAGGAGCAAGUAAGACAUUUUCCAAUAAGGACAAAAUGUCGCAAGGCAGAAGGUUUUAUCUUCAUCUUAUUUAUUGUCUUAGAAUGAAACAAUGACAAUUUGCUCAAGCUGUGAAAGCUUGGUAAGGCUUCUUAAAAACCAGAAAAGUGAGGAUGGCUAAUGCGUGGUGACUUACAUGGUGAUGGAUAAUUUGGAAGUGAUGCCAAAUUAAUUUGCGUCUCCUCAUUUCAAUUUCUAUUUCAAUCUCCACUCUCUAGUGCUUGAACUGGUAGCACUGUCUUUUUUCCUCUAAUUUUAUGUAACCUCUUGUGUCAUUGUUUAUGGAUUGAGAUAUGGUUUCGAUUAUUUGAAUUAGCUGUGAUGACUUUGUUUUGUGGCUCCUUAAUAUUUCUUAAAUUGUUUUGCAUAAACAUUUGUUUGCUUCCUUAUAUGAAUGUUGUUCCUGUUCAGUUAUUUGUUGCAGCCUUUCCCAUUUUUCAUUCUUUUUCCAUUUUUUUCUUGAGUUUCUAUCUUUAAUUUUUCAUGUGGAGGAUUUUGAUAUGCUCAUUACAAUUUUCUUUAAUCAUAGGAGUAAAUAAAAAUAUGAUAUGAAACAAUAAUUCAUAGCAUGAAUGGAAAUGGUAGAAAAUUAGAGAUUGAACUCUUGUUAUUUUAAUUUGUUAUAUUUGUGGUAUUACAAUAUCUUAGGAAUUGUAAAGUAAUCUACUCCUUUUUUGUAUAUUUUUAACUAAUUCUGUAAUGUCUAAAGUUUCGAUUAUAUUUCAGUGAUAUUACUAAUGGGAACUUCAACUAAUGUUUCAGCAUUGCGAAGAAGAUUCAAUUUUAAUUGAGUAUUUUUGCCAAUGUAAUUGAUUAGCAUUUUUCUUUUAGCUAUCGGAGAUAUUUUAAUGAUCUAAAACUUGCAUAGUCUCUAAUGUUUCAGUUGAAAUUGUAGUUGUUUGAUUGUUAGAUUUAAUUUUAUUUGCUUUAUUGUUUAUUGGAUUUUGUUGCUUGUCUUAAUUCCUUGGAUUAUAGUUGUAACAUGUAAUAUGAUUUGAGUUGCUAUUUUAAAAUAAAGAAACAUUUACCUGUUAUUUUUUAUAUGAUAUCUAAAUGCCAUAUUGUUUAAUUUUAUAUCACUUGUUACUAGUUAAAAUGAAUUUGUGGGUAAAUGGAAUUUUGAUCUUGGUAAUUCUUGAUGUAUUGUUAUCUUUCUCUUUAUUCCAAAGAUCACUUGGUUGUUAAAUGAAAGGAGACAUAAAAGUUGCAUCGAACAAUUAUGCAAGUCGAGAGUAAUUUUUAUAUAUUGAAUAUUGCUGUUAAUAAAUCCCUUAAAAAAUAUAUGUUAAAUGAAAAUAUAUUUUGUGUUUAUUUUAGAUUAAAAGUAUGAGUUUUUCUGUUGAAAACCAAAUUUAUUUGAUCAUACCUAAGAAUUUGGAUCAUGCCUUUGAAAUUCUAAAUAUUGUUGUUUACUUUGUGGUUGCAUUGUGUUUUCUAAUGUCAUUUGGUUUUUUUUUUUUUUAUGUGUAGAUACUUGAAAUCUAAAAUGAGCAGCAGCUGGAGCCUUAGUUUGUGGAAGCUGUAAAUUGAUUAAAUUUUUUGAAGCUAUUUGGUCACAAGCUUGUGAAAAAUUCUAAUUGUCUUUUACAUCUGUUUAAAUGAAUGGAAGUUUUAGUUUACCUAAAUUUUUAGUGCAUCGCAAACAAUUAAUAGGGCAUUUAUUAUUUUAUUUGCAAAGGAAUGGCAACAAAUCAAGAGUACCUACCAUUCCAAUCAAGACAUGCCAAAUUCAACAAUUAA